rnacentral:rRNA from 1 species
AACGAACGCUGGCGGCAUGCCUAACACAUGCAAGUCGAACGAGACCUUCGGGUCUAGUGGCGCACGGGUGCGUAACACGUGGGAAUUUGCCUCGGGGUAUGGAAUAACUCAGGGAAACUUGAGCUAAUACCAUAUAAUGUCUUCGGACCAAAAGAUUUAUCGCCCUGAGAUGAGCCCGCGUAGGAUUAGCUAGUUGGUGGGGUAAAGGCUCACCAAGGCGACGAUCCUUAGCUGGUCUGAGAGGAUGAUCAGCCACACCGGGACUGAGACACGGCCCAGACUCCUACGGAGGCAGCAGUGGGGAAUAUUGGACAAUGGGCGAAAGCCUGAUCA